CAGACUUCCUGCAGCAGCCAGAAGCCCUGGAAAAAUGGUUGCAUUCUUUUAUUUCUUUCUACCGUGACAUGUUUGGAUCUGCCAAUAUCUUGCUUUAGGAAGAACAGGGUCACAGCAUGGCAGUCAUUUUGGGCUGUAUCUAGGGGGAACAUCUUACAAAUGGUGGACUCCUGACCCAGUAAAGGCCCAACAAAAGAGGGUUCUGACAUGUCAAUAAUCUUUUGUCCAUUUGGCCGGACACCCUGGAGAGAUGGGAGAAUAAAUGCAGUCCCUGUUUCUCUAAGUUGCCCAGAAGUGGAAGUCCCUGGCAUAGCUGCUUUAUUCUUAAUAGCCAAAAAGCUGGAAACAACUCAAUGCCUAACAACAGGUUAUCAAUCUUGUGGAUGUAGAAUUGUUCAUGGUAUUCCCUGAUGAGGUCUCAGUCUUCCCGUGAGCCUCUGCCUCUGGACUGUGAACUUUAUUUGUCUUUUCGCGCUUUCACAAGAUCUUCUGAUGAAAAAAAAAGAAGUCCUAAUUUGAAGGUGGUUCAAAUUAUCUUUCUUUCCUUUGUGGUCUUGACUCCAUUUUUCACUAAAACGAAUCAAAACUCCUUGGAGAGAUGACCGAUUGCUGGGAAAAGACAGGGAAUGUACAAGAUGGACCUGGAACGUCUUUUGUGCCACAAAGCAAGAAGGUGCUCAAAGAGUAGUGAGAGUACAUCAAGUCAGCUUGAACAAGCUUCCACUGGCCAAAUUGGGGACAAUUUGAACAUCAAAAUAAACAAUGACAAAAGUAUAGUAUAGGCUAUUGGAUAAAAUAGAAAACCAUUUGACAUUUACAUACUUCCAAAGUACCUUCCCACAAAAUACUUAUUAAUUACAAAGGGGAAAAUAGUAAAUUUAUAGUGAAGGAGCUUGGCAAAAUAGCACCUUAAUCAAGUGAUCAAAGAGAUCAUUACUGAUAAUGGGACAAACUGAAAUUGUGCAGCAUCUGAUAGGAUUCAUUAAGAAUCCAGCAUAACUUCUGUCAUAUUCCUCCAAAAGAUGUACAAUCUGAAUCUAAUCGUGAGGAAGCACCACACAAACCUGGCUUGAGAGACAUUAUACAAAAUAAUUGACCUGUAAUCCCCAACAGUGUCAAGGUCAUGAAAGACAAGGAAACUAGGAAAUGCUUCAUACUCAAGAAUACUAAAGACAAAUGACAACUAAGUCUGAUUCUAAAGGUAUCAUUUUCUAUGAAAAACAUUAUUGAGACAACUAAUGAAACUUAAAUGAGGUCUGAGGAUUAUAUGAUACUGAUACAGCAAUAUAGGGUUUCUGUUUUGGUGGUAAUUAAGGAAAAUGUCUUUGUAGGAAGUAGACAUAAACUAUUUGGUAGUAGUAAGGCAUUAGGUCAGCAACUUGCUCUCAAAUGGUUAAGGAAAAAAAUUUAUUUGAAUAUGUUUCCAACUUUUCUGUAAUUUUGAUUGUUUUGAAAUACAUACACAUUCAUAGACAUAGAUAUAGAUAUAAUAGAUAUAGAUAUAAAGCUGCUAAGAUUUUUACUGGGCAUGCUUAGUUUUGAUAUAUCAACUUGAGGAGUAUUAAUAUCUUACCAAAAUUUAGUCUUUCAAUCUAUGAACAUGGUGUAUUUCUCUGUGUAGCUGUUCUUUCAAUAAUAUUUUAUGUCUAUCUGGACAGCGGAUUUGUACUUCAGUUAGAUUUAUGCCUGAAUAUAUAACUUUUUCAUACAAUUUUAAAUAGUAUAUUUCUUUAUUUUACUUCCUAUUUUUUUGUUGCUGACUGAUAGAAAUGCAAUUGAUUUCUGGCUGUCAACUUUGUAUCUGAAAACCUUGCCAAAUUAUUUAAUAUACCUAAUAAAUCACCUGCACAUUCUUUUAUAUUUUCUUCAUACCCAAUCAUAUCACCUACAAAUAAGAGUAUCUAAACUUUACGCUUUUGUUAUUUUUCAUGCUAUAUUUAGCUGGCUAGUUUCUUCAAUAUAUUUUUAAUAAAUUUAAAGGAUAUCCCUACUGACUCCCAUCUCAGAAGGAAAGGGUUCAACAUAGUACCAUUAAGUAUGAUGUUUAUUGUAUUCUCUUUAUCAAUAGAGACUGUUCCCUUAAUCCAUUUCUAGUUUGCUAAAAUUUGCUCAUGAAUAGAUGUUGAAAGUUGACUGCUUUUUCUGCAUUAAGAUUUUCUUCUUCAUAACAUGCUUAUUUUGUAGUCUUCAUUUGAUAAUCCUAUUGUUUAAAGUACUUUAAGAUCUGAAUUCUCUCAUUUGUGUUUCUGCUCUUUCUUGCAUUGGAUUUUCUUUGUCUUCAUCUAUUUUGUAGUUUGCAAUAAAUUUAAAUAAAUAUAUAUAAUUUUAUAUAAAACUUUAUAUUUUGGGUUUGUCAGUGAGAAUAAUGUUUAAUCUAGAUUUUAGGUGUGUCGUUUCAAGGAAGUUCUACAAUUG
rnacentral:lncRNA from 1 species